rnacentral:tRNA from 1 species
GACAUUGUGCCAGAUAAUUGGGUUUCCUUGAUGUGGAAGAAUAUGUAGGUUUUAUUCCUUCCAAUGUUA